AUUGUACGCUGGCGGCAGGCCUAACACAUGCAAGUCGAACGGUAACAGGAAGAAGCUUGCUUCUUUGCUGACGAGUGGCGGACGGGUGAGUAAUGUCUGGGAAACUGCCUGAUGGAGGGGGAUAACUACUGGAAACGGUAGCUAAUACCGCAUAACGUCGCAAGACCAAAGAGGGGGACCUUCGGGCCUCUUGCCAUCGGAUGUGCCCAGAUGGGAUUAGCUAGUAGGUGGGGUAACGGCUCACCUAGGCGACGAUCCCUAGCUGGUCCGAGAGGAUGACCAGCCACACUGGAACUGAGACACGGUCCAGACUCCUACGGGAGGCAGCAGUGGGGAAUAUUGCACAAUGGGCGCAAGCCUGAUGCAGCCAUGCCGCGUGUAUGAAGAAGGCCUUCGGGUUGUAAAGUACUUUCAGCGGGGAGGAAGGGAGUAAAGUUAAUACCUUUGCUCAUUGACGUUACCCGCAGAAGAAGCACCGGCUAACUCCGUG
rnacentral:rRNA from 1 species